rnacentral:rRNA from 1 species
AUUGAACGCUGGCGGCAGGCCUAACACAUGCAAGUCGAACGGUAACAGGAAACAGCUUGCUGUUUCGCUGACGAGUGGCGGACGGGUGAGUAAUGUCCGGGAAACUGCCUGAUGGAGGGGGAUAACUACUGGAAACGGUAGCUAAUACCGCAUAACGUCGCAAGACCAAAGAGGGGGACCUUCGGGCCUCUUGCCAUCGGAUGUGCCCAGAUGGGAUUAGCUAGUAGGUGGGGUAACGGCUCACCUAGGCGACGAUCCCUAGCUGGUCUGAGAGGAUGACCAGCCACACUGGAACUGAGACACGGUCCAGACUCCUACGGGAGGCAGCAGUGGGGAAUAUUGCACAAUGGGCGCAAGCCUGAUGCAGCCAUGCCGCGUGUAUGAAGAAGGCCUUCGGGUUGUAAAGUACUUUCAGCGGGGAUGAAGGGAGUAAAGUUAAUACCUUUGCUCAUUGACGUUACCCGCAGAAGAAGCACCGGCUAACUCCGUG